AACAAGUUUGGAACAAGCUGUUAACAAAAAAGCUUGAUGGCUUUAUCAAACUUGUUGCAACGUCUGAUACGGUCAUGAUAUAACAAGAAUGUUACAAGGUUGUAACAAUAUUGUUAUAUCAUGACUGUAUCGGACUUGUUGGAACAACCUUGCAACAAGUCUGAUAAUAUCAAUAAGGUUGUUACAAGUUGUUAACAGCUUGUUCCAAACUUGAC